CAGUCGCCGCGGGAAUACGGAGGGUGCAAGCGUUAUCCGGAUUUAUUGGGUUUAAAGGGUCCGUAGGCGGACUUAUAAGUCAGUGGUGAAAGCCUGUCGCUUAACGAUAGAACUGCCAUUGAUACUGUAAGUCUUGAGUAUAUUUGAGGUAGCUGGAAUAAGUAGUGUAGCGGUGAAAUGCAUAGAUAUUACUUAGAACACCAAUUGCGAAGGCAGGUUACCAAGAUAUAACUGACGCUGAGGGACGAAAGCGUGGGUAGCGAACAGGAUUAGAGACCCCAGUAGUCCCUGUCUCUUAUAA
rnacentral:rRNA from 1 species